CAUCCCGGCUCCUCCAAUUAGCUCAGGGGGGAAGGGGGCAAGCCAGGCCAAUGAAAUGCCAGCAAGCCCGGAGAGUCCCAUAAGGAUGAGCCAAUAGAAGGGAGAGAGGAGGCUGCAGAUCCGCCCCUACACAGCUCCGUUCUGAAAUAAACCAGCUGUGGCCAGAUGUGCAGAACAGCUGGGAGGAAGUAGACCAAGGCAUUCGCAGUAAGCUGUCGGUUUGCAAACGUUUCUGCGUAGAGGGGUAGUGCUGGCGCGAUUGUAAAGCAACUUAUCUGGAAUGUAAUAGCCACUUCGAUGCUGUGCAACUGGUUGAACACGAUCAAUCCCUGCAGACCAUUUAGUUUUGGACAUCCCAUGCAGUGAAACAGGAAGAUAUUGCUUCAGAAUUCCCCCCUUUGUGGACUGCUACUGAAGAGAUUGUACAUUUGCUGAACAGUUCCAAAGAUCUUCUGCUGCAUCUGUUACUGUUGGCACAGCUCCUUCUUGACUACUGUCCUCAUGUUCAAGUAUUGGCAUUGAAAUAUCACCUGUUGCAGUUGUGGAGUUUUCAUUAUCUGUAGCAUUGUUUGUUGGGUAAGGUUGGCAAGUCAGUGACUCCAUCUCCUUCCAGAACACUUUCUUCAUGGAACAGCAUCCUAUGGUUGAGGAAGCCAAAGCCCUCAUAUUGACACCAUCUAUUCAGCCAUGAACUCAUCUUCAGAAGUGCAUGUCUCUGAAGGAUGGAAAGGAGCAAAACCUGUAUCCGCAACUCCUCCACCCUUGAUCCCAGAGCCUUGUAGUCCCUGCUGAUCUGCUCAUGAUACUUCCAGGUCUGACCCUUAGUGCCCAUGUGAAUGAGUAGCAUAGGGUAGUGAUCAGAGGGAAGGAUGAGCCUCAGCAAUCUUUCCAUAAUGUCUCAGAUGCAGGCUCCAGGCAGGCAGCUCACCUCCCAAGAUGAUAUGUCAGGUUGGGAGAUGGAUGCCUCCGUUUCCCUCAAAAGGGAGUCCUCACCAUCAGCUCACUAUAUCUCCACCUCUUGGGUGUGGUGGCCAUGAGCUUUCAAGCCUUGGGGGUGAGUGGCUUUUUCUCCUCAGCCAGUGGAGUCUGCUCAUCACCUUCUGUUUCCAGUACAGAAGAAUGGUUCUUCACCUUGAUGAAUGGGGGACCUGGGUGUGGGGGUAAAGUGCUGUCUACUCCCUGAGGUGGCCAGCAGCCAGUUCCUCCUCUGCUGCUGCUGUAGUCAUCUAUAGUCAGCCAGCAUCCUCCAUCCCAGAUGUCUCCAUGUGUGUCCUGUUAGUGAAGUCCUCACACUACACAGGCAAGCCACCUCCUCCUGCACUUCUCUUACCUGCUUCCUAAGGGACUCCUCCAACAGACACCUCUCACAUGGGGUGGUUCCCCUGCAUGGCUUUCAUUGGCAGUGACAUGCAGCCUGCAUUCCCAGCAAGACCAGGGCCUGUAUGGAAGCCUCCAGGGCAGAUGCGAUGCAUGGGGGACACAUGGGGUCACAUGCUCUCUCUCCCUCCGCCCCGAUUUCUCAGGAUGCCUCUUGCCAGGAUUCCCAAGAGCAAGGAGGCAGCAGCUCUCACUGGGAGCAGCUGGCUGAGCCUCCUCCCUCUUCCCUCUGCCUCUGCUUCAUGGGGUUGCUUCUCCUUCUUGCUGCUGGAGUCCCAGCGCUUCCUGCUGCCUGCUUUGCAGACUGCCUGCUGAGGUGAGUCAGGAGGUGGUGGCAGAGCCAGUGCACUAACCACAGUUAUGUAUUGCCUCUGCUCAAGGGUCAGGAUGCCUGUCUGAUGGAGGCCACCACAGGUGCAGGUUGAGUCAGCUAGCAGCGGUGUUGGUGACAUGCUGUUUUUCCUUGUGGAGUACCUGCAAGAUAAGGAAACAGAAAAUGACAAACAACCCUACCUCCCUGCCUUCUUCUGCUGGCGAACACAGCUAGCUAAUGCUUUAGUCUCCCAGCUGUCGUUGUCUCACCAGUCACAGGCAGCCAGCAUGCUUUUUGAAAACUAGGAUCCACACACAGCUGGAAUGGGUGACUCAACCCCUCUCACUCAGCCACCUCUAAUCACUGUCCUAUCCAAUCACAAGCUGCACUGCUCUCACUUCCAAGGGCCCCCUGCUAGAAAGCAGGUGCGAAUAUGCCUAACUUCAGAAUACCUUAACCCAGACAGUCAGCAACCAACCUAGAUUCCAAAACGCAGCCAAUGCAGCAACCAGCCCAGAGUCCUACCAAACUCAAUGGCAAGCUCCAAGCACAGAGAGUGCUCCUCUUUUGUCCCCCAAAGGUAAUCAACAGCAAUAAGACAGAAGUGCCCCAGAGAUACCAGUUAGGUACCUUCCUUAGUCUCCCAGCUGCCUUCAUCUCGCCAGCCAUUGGAAGCCUACAUAUUUUUUUAAGUCUUGGCCCCACACCCAGCUAGAAUGGGUGAUUCAACCCCUCUCAUUCAUCUGCCUCUACUCAUUGGCCUUUCCAAUCACAUGCUGCACUGCUCUCACUUCAAA